rnacentral:lncRNA from 1 species
AUGAGAAGCAAAUCAAUUAACAGGACAAAUGACACGGUGGUUAGUCACCGGAGGGAAAGUAUUAUUAGCCUCAUUAACUUGGAGCACCCUUCCAGCUCACACCCGGAGUUGCCACGCUGCGCACUGGUGACCAACCUGCCCAGGCACCCCCGUGAGCUCCGGACGCCCACCCCUUUGACCUCGCCCGGGGCAACACCCUCGGAACAGCCGCCGGGGCCCCCGGGCCCACCCCCACCGACGUCAGGAGGCAGCUCCCGAAUCCGGCGAGGUGCGGGGGUGGGGGAUCCCCGCCCGGCCCCACCCUCCAAAGUUGCAGGGAGUGGCAGCGAAGAACUUUCGCAGCCGGAUCGCCGUCGGCACUGGGGGCCCGCAGCCAGUCCGCCCGCGCCGCCGCGCGCGCCAAGCCCCUCCUUCGCCGCACCUUUAAAGGCGGGGAGACGGAGGUCGGCGGCGCUCCCGGAGGGGCUGCGCGGGGAGCGCGGCGCGGAGCCGGCGGUGAGUCAGGGCCGGCGGCCGAGUGGGCGGGCGGGCGGCGGGGGUGAUGUCAGGAGCGCGCGGCGGGCGGGAGCGCGGCCGCGGUCACCAGCGAGCGCCGCGCCGCGGCCCGAGACCCGCCCUGGGGCCCGAGCCGAGCCGGCUGGCUGCGGCGCCGCCGAGGGCCUGGGGGGCCGGAGGGCCCGGGCGGCGGCUGCCCCGCGGCCGCGGCGCGCAGGGCGAGACCCCGCCAACUUCGGCGGCCGGGCCCGGGCGGGGGCCGUGGGCGCGAGCGGAGCCGCCCGGAGCCGGCGCGUCGGCGGAGCGGUAAGGGGCGGGCGGCGGUGGCUGGGCGCCCGGCGCGGACGCGGACUCGGCCCCGCGUGCCCGCCCGGGCAUCCCCCCGGGUGGGCGCGGGGUCCGUGCCCCGAGCGCGGCGCUCAUUCCUUCCCCCAUCCCGGGGAGCUCGGUGCUGGCGCUGGAAGCGCCCGGGGCCACUCCAGGAGGAGGCCAGGGCUGGGGCGCAGGUGCGGAGGGGACUGUCCCCUUCCCGCCCGCGAGGCGCUUGGGGAUGCUGUGAGCGGUCCCAGCCCGGCCGGGCAGCCCACCUGCGCCUUCCGCCUGCCUUCCAGAGCGGCCGCCCGGAGCACGCGAGACCCGGCCCCUGGGCCCGCGGGUGGGAGUGGACCCGUCCACCCCGAGGCGCGGAGACUCGGACAGUCGUUCAUGACCCGCGGCUCCGGCUGGAAGCGGCCCAAAUGUUGUGUCCUGUAA